UGUGCUGCGCCAAGGGCGUCCCGAAAAACGUUGGCACUACCUUAAAGGAUGGCGGUUUUGAGGUCUCCCGCUGGCACUUUCCCGACCUCAAAGAUCAGGACGUGGACUGGUUGUCACACAUCCUGUCAUCAUAUUCCGACAACCGCCAUCAAAAUGUGGAGCUUGUCCUCCCGAGGGAUCGUCUCACUGACGUAGGCGCUCGUCAGCUGUUUCAGAAGAUACCAAAUAUUCGUGUGUUGUACCACGAGCCUAACGCCGCGCACCUCACGGCAGCUUGUAGGGAUGUUCACGCUGCUGCGGAUUGCAUCGAGUUGUCAACCACCAACAUUCUUCAAUGGAUAUAAUAUCUCUAUCCAAAGUUAGGGUUAGACUAGAAGACAUAAUCAACGACAACUAGAAAUUUUCAUUUUACAUUUAGAUUUUAAUUAGCAUGAGGUUCAUAAAUAAAAAAUAUCUUUUGAGAGCGAAUAGUUUUAACGGCGUAGAGGCCUUCAUUAAUAAGCAUGUGUAUUUUCAUAACAUUACUUUCGGCAGUGAAUUAUUUAACUUGUUUUUGUUAUCAAGUCGUAAAAUUUGUAUGUUGGCUCAUGCAAUUACUUCUUACCUUUUUCGAAGCUUUAAAUUUAAAUAUUAAGCAGAA